UACGUAGGGUGCGAGCGUUGUCCGGAGUUACUGGGCGUAAAGCGCGCGCAGGCGGCUCGUCAAGCCUGACGUGAAAGCCCCCGGCUCAACCGGGGAGGGUCGUCGGGGACUGGCGGGCUUGAGGUCGGCAGGGGUUGGUGGAAUUCCCGGUGUAGUGGUGAAAUGCGUAGAGAUCGGGAGGAACACCCGUGGCGAAGGCGGCCAACUGGGCCGGACCUGACGCUGAGGCGCGAAGGCGUGGGGAGCGAACAGG
rnacentral:rRNA from 1 species